UACGUAGGGUGCAAGCGUUGUUCGGAAUUACUGGGCGUAAAGGGUGCGCAGGCGGCCGUGUGUGUGAGGCGUGAAAGCCCGGGGCUUAACCCCGGAAUUGCACCUCAAACUACAUGGCUAGAGCAUUGGAGAGGGUAGCAGAAUUCAUGGUGUAGCAGUGAAAUGCGUAGAUAUCAUGAGGAAUACCAGAGGCGAAGGCGGCUACCUGGACAAUUGCUGACGCUCAGGCACGAAAGCGUGGGGAGCAAAAGG
rnacentral:rRNA from 1 species